rnacentral:miRNA from 1 species
GUUCAGAGAAAAGGUCACUGUAAGAUUAAUGCACCCAUAUUUUAAUAUCAAACUAUGACAAAAUUGAUAACAGCCUUUUGGUACUUCUGCCAAAAC